rnacentral:rRNA from 1 species
AUUGAACGCUGGCGGCAGGCCUAACACAUGCAAGUCGAACGGUAACAGGAAGAAGCUUGCUUCUUUGCUGACGAGUGGCGGACGGGUGAGUAAUGUCUGGGAAACUGCCUGAUGGAGGGGGAUAACUACUGGAAACGGUAGCUAAUACCGCAUAACUUCGCAAGACCAAAGAGGGGGACCUUCGGGCCUUUUGCCAUCGGAUGUGCCCAGAUGGGAUUAGCUAGUAGGUGGGGUAACGGCUCACCUAGGCGACGAUCCCUAGCUGGUCUGAGAGGAUGACCAGCCACACUGGAACUGAGACACGGUCCAGACUCCUACGGGAGGCAGCAGUGGGGAAUAUUGCACAAUGGGCGCAAGCCUGAUGCAGCCAUGCCGCGUGUAUGAAGAAGGCCUUCGGGUUGUAAAGUACUUUCAGCGGGGAGGAAGGGAGUAAAGUUAAUACCUUUGCUCAUUGACGUUACCCGCAGAAGAAGCACCGGCUAACUCCGUG